rnacentral:rRNA from 1 species
CGCGUAGGUGGUUUGUUAAGUCGGAUGUGAAAGCCCCGGGCUCAACCUGGGAACUGCACCCGAUACUGGCCGACUGGAGUGCGAGAGAGGGAGGUAGAAUUCCACGUGUAGCGGUGAAAUGCGUAGAUAUGUGGAGGAAUACCGGUGGCGAAGGCGGCCUCCUGGCUCGACACUGACGCUGAGGUGCGAAAGCGUGGGGAGCAAACA